AGUUUUACAGCAGAUCUGACUAGAUGGGCUUCCCUUUGCAUAUCAUGGACUGGUAGGAUCAACUCAAUGAAAAUACACAAAGCUACUUGCUUUUCUUACACAUCUGAACCAGGAUCAUUGUCAAGACAAGGCUUGUCACAGCAAGAUGAAAGAGAGAACUUGGCUGGAUGUAUCUUUCCAUGAAUUUGAGAGUGCCAGGGCAACAAUAAUGAGACUGCAUAGAACUAUCCUGAUUUGUGGGCAUAUAGCAAAAGCUCCAUGCGAGUCAGACAUACGGGGAAGGACGUCGUCUAUGUACCUGGUAUCUGAUUGGCUGCCGGACCGCGAGCUUUGAUUGCCUCACGGAUCUGCGCCUAACUCAAGGUAGACACUGAGGGGCAGAAGAGGCGCAGGCUACGCACUCCUCAGGAAUCAGGAGCGAGAUCUUUAAGCCCCAGAAAGAAUAAGAUGAUGAAAAGCACCAUUGCCCUCCACAGUGCCAAAUAGUGAAACGUGAAUAUUAUAAGAAACACACUAUUGUGUAAGUAAAGAAGAAAGUGCACCUGC